rnacentral:misc_RNA from 1 species
GAAACAAUACCACUUCUUUCUGUAGGCAC